rnacentral:tRNA from 1 species
GGGGUAUUAGCUCAGCUGGGAGAGCGCUACACUGGCAGUGUAGAGGUCAGCGGUUCGAUCCCGCUAUACUCCACCA